AAAACUUUUAAUGUCUUUUAGUUUUUCUGUCACGAUCUGGAAGUAGUAGUGACAGGCUUAGUUUUCGAAAAACAGUGGUUUCUAUACAUUGUAACCUUUGCGUGACCUCGCGCAACUUGUAGAAUUCCCACGAGAAAUUUAGCGAAGUAAAUUGUUGAAAUUUAUAAAGAGGAAGAGUACAACUUUCUUUGUCCAGUUAGACCGGGACAAGAAGAUUGGAAGAGCGCAUUGCUCUACAAACCUAUUUUUCGAACAAAGCAGAGGAUUCUAGCAAAUAAACAUGACUCAGAAAAACCAAAAUUGCGUAAAAACCAAAAAAAGACUAAUAUUCAAAACAUUUGGCAAAGCAAUAAUUGAAAUUCAAAGAAAGUAAACCAGUGCAUACUCAAAUAUAUUUACAAGUCUGAACGAAGUUCAACCGCUGUCUUACUAAAAGAAUGCUUACAAGAGUCCAGGAUAAUUUAAAGAUGUUAGAUAAACCCCAUUUGGAUAGUAUCAGAAGCCAUUAUCGACAUCGAUAUUUAGAAACAAAAAAGAGAGAAGAGAUGCAUCGUCAUAAUGGCGGUAUCUUCAGAUCAAUCAAAGCUGCUGCAUUCUUAUCCACAAGUUGCAGACAUUUGUACAAAUAAGUGUCGACGACAUCACUCAUCCUGAAAAAUUGUUAAUUAUGUAUGGUCUCUUUUUAAUUUAAUCCGCAACAAUUGGACCAUGAAGGCGCUCGAUCUUCUCUCGUGUGUCGCUAGGAAACUAAAGAAAAAUGAAAAAUAAAAAAAAUACAAUUUU